rnacentral:precursor_RNA from 14 species
UCCUAUCUGAAAAAUCUGAAAAUUCCGAUCCGGCCAUGGCCAAUUGCAUAUAUUGCUUUUACUUUUUCAAAAUGCGAAUAUUGCACUUUCCCUGGCCAGAUCUGAUAGUAAGAUUUGAGGGAAAUCUAGGU